rnacentral:tRNA from 1 species
CGGGGCGUGGCGCAGCCUGGUAGCGCGCUGCCUUUGGGUGGCAGAGGUCCCCGGUUCAAAUCCGGGCGCCCCGA